rnacentral:rRNA from 1 species
AGUGAACGCUGGCGGUAGGCCUAACACAUGCAAGUCGAACGGCAGCACAGUAAGAGCUUGCUCUUACGGGUGGCGAGUCGCGGACGGGUGAGGAAUACAUCGUAAUCUACUUUUUCGUGGGGGUUCACGUAGGGAAACUUACGCUAAUACCGCAUACGACCUACGGGUGAAAGCAGGGGAUCUUCGGACCUUGCGCGAUUGAAUGAGCCGAUGUCGGAUUAGCUAGUUGGCGGGGUAAAGGCCCACCAAGGCGACGAUCCGUAGCUGGUCUGAGAGGAUGAUCAGCCACACUGGAACUGAGACACGGUCCAGACUCCUACGGGAGGCAGCAGUGGGGAAUAUUGGACAGUGGGCGCAAGCCUGAUCCAGCCAUACCGCGUGGGUGAAGAAGGCCUUCGGGUUGUAAAGCCCUUUUGUUGGGAAAGAAAAGCAGCAGGUUAAUACCCCGCUGUUCUGACGGUACCCAAAGAAUAAGCACCGGCUAACUUCGUG